AAUAUAUUUCAAAAGCUUCGAUAUGCUUUUCAAUAUCUAUAAGAUCAAAGGUUUAACGUUCGUAUUUAUACCAGCGAACGGAAGCAUGUAACACCUAAUUAUACGCAUUCUAAAGAUCUAAAUUAAAGUAAUCCAAUCAGGAAACGUUUUCACUUUUACAAAUGCCUUUUUAGCCUCUUCACUUUUGAAUUGAAAAAUGUCUUUAUGUUGUACCAGAUAUUUAUUAUAGAAAAAUGUAUUUAAAAAGCAUUUCCUGCUCAACAACACUUUCAUUGAUUCUCAGAAUUAAGAUUUUCUUUUUUUUAAAGCACUAUUCAUCCUAUUUUGAAAAUAUGUAACAUUCAAUGUUUGAAGCAAUGGGUAAUAGAAAUAAAAACGUUGCGCUGCAUACUUCAGUCGCCUCGUCUCUCUCGUAGCGACCGGCUGUGCGCCGCGGAAGCUCCGUAUAAUUCUCGCAAAUUCUCGCCGAAUCUGAAACGAGAGUGCUCAAGAUGUCGAAUCAAGUAUCGAAAAUGCCGAAGCUAGUAUUAGAAAUAGAAAAAUGUGUCGAACGUAUGUCGGGAAAGCUAAAUCAAGCUUCGGCAGCGUUGGAUCGGUUGGCGAGCAUCGUAUGUUUUGUAACAUACAGUUUUCAUUGCUCCGUAACUCCCUCGAUCCUGAGAUAAGUAUCGAAAAUGUCGAAGAAAGUAUCGAGCAAUAUCAAUCGAAUAUCUAAAGGAUCAAACUGAACGUCGGACAUGCCGAGGUGACCAAUAGCGGGUGACCGUUACAGAAUUUCGUCGUUUGAAGUGAUAGGGUUAGGAACGACGCGCGACGCACUUCAGUUGUCUCGUCUCCCUCGCGACCGUUGGACGUGUGUCGCGGCAGCUCCGCGUCUCUCGCGAUUUCUACUCGCCGAAUCUGAAACGAGGGUGCUCAAGGUAUCGAAUUAAGUGCCGGAAACGCCGAAUCUAGUGUCGGGAAUGGAGUAAUGUGCCGAACGUACGAAACGUACGUUGGGAGAGUCGAAUCGAGUCUUGGCAGCAUCGGAUUAAUUGGUGAGCAUCGUACGUUUUGUACAGUUUUCACUCGCCGAAUCUGAGAUAAGUGUCGAAAGUGGCGAAGAAAGUGUCGAGCAAUGUCAAUCGAACAUCACUGGGAUCAAACUGAACGUCGGACAUUUCGAGGCGACGAAUAGCGAAUGACCGUUACAGAAUUUCGUCGUUUGAAGUGAUACGGUUAGGAACGACGCGCGAUGCACUUCAGUCGCCUCGUCUCCCUCGCGACCGUUGGACGGUGUGUCGCGGCAGCUCCGCGUUUCUCGCGAUUUCCACUCGCCGAAUCUGAAACGAGGGUGCUCAAGAUAUCGAAUUAACUGUUGGAAAUGGAGUGACGUGUCGGAAGAUCCGAAUCAAGCUUCGGCGGACAUCGGAAUGUCGAAUGUCGGAUGGCGAGUCAUCUUUCGUGCGAUUUUGGCUCGUCGAGUUGUGAAAUCAGUACUGAAUCAAGUGUCUGGGACGUCGAUCGAACGUCAGGAUCGUCGAUCGAACGUCAGGAUCGUCGAUCGAACGUCAGGAUCGUCGAAUUGAACGUCGCUAAGAAUAGUGCACGGCCGUUACGGCGUUUCGUCGUUCGAGAAGCUUCAAGUGCCAGCAAUUAAGAACGUUGUGCCGUAUACUUUAGUCGCCUCCGUUUCGUCUAUCGCCGGGAUUCGCGCUCGUCUCGGGUUUCCGAGAUGUCGGGAGUGUCGAAUUAAUUGUUACGAGUGCCGGGAGUGCCGGGAGUGUCGAACGACGUCGGAAAUAUUCGCAAGUUGUUUUUUUUACGCCUUCGCCGCCACGGGCCGACCGCGAAUUCGGUCGCGUAACGAGCCGAGAGGUUAGAUAAAACGCUCUUUUUUUUUUUUUUGACGACGGCUUCAUUGUUCUACCUCCCGUCGGGUCAUAAAUAUACGUACAAAACUUAUAGAUAUGUGCGUAAAAUCGGGACGCGGCAUUUCGGCUAGUGUCCGGUGAACACACCGCGGCGUAGCGCGCCGCCCGGCGCCUCGCGGCGACGGAGUGGGGGGAGUGAUCACGUGGGACGGACGGGACGGCGGGGCGGCGAGUACGCGCGGCCAACGUUCAGUCUUCAGUCCCAUGCUGUUGUGCGUCGUGUGCGGGUGUCCGCGGGCGCGCGGGAUCUUUCGCCUCGCCUCGCCUCCUUCGCUCGUUUCGUUUCGGACACUUUUUCCCUCCAAGCGACGUUUGUGCAGCGUGCGGACAGGAGAGUGACGUCGUCGAUGUGCCGCGAGAUCCAAGAUCCCGAGAUUAUCGUCGGUCAUCUCGUCAUCGGUCGCGUUUUUGUAACUUUGAGAUCGUCGAAAUUAAAUACGACGCUCCGACUCCCGACGCGAGUUUCUCUCUCUCUCGUUUCGUGCGAUCGUAGUUUCGUAACGCUCGCGAUCUCGACUGAAAUCAAUAAAAAAACGACGUUAGUGACGCACGGGAGAGUGUCCGACUCCAGUUAGUAAUACCACGGUGGGAAAUCUGUCUUGGAAUAAUCGUACUUGUAUGAUUGAAAUAUUUGGAGUAUCAGUAGUGUGGAUUCAAUCUAGAGCGACGUGUGUCUCUUUAAUUUUUAGCAAAAAAAUUGUGUUGACAAUUUCUGGCCGCGCACUUGAAACAAUAACUUCAAUCGCGAUUGAAACAAGUGAUGUCGCUCAUUAUAGAAUUAGCAAUUUACUGAACUUACGAAGAAAUUGUAUUUCUCUCGAAAAGCGCGAAGCACAACUUUUAGAAAACGGGAAAUUCACCGGAUCAAGGUGCGCGUCGCGUUAUCAAGCGCAACGAGGACUGGCGUGAUUUCGCGCGCGAGAGAGGGAUGCGUGUAAGGAGUCGCGAGCAGCCGGGCCGCUCUCUUCCCGCGCGCGCGAUUUUCGCCGUGCACGCCGACGCGCCGCGCGAGUUGUCGGGACGGCCGAGGCCCGAUGAUUUAGAGAAUCUCGCGUGUGAGUGACGCGGUGACGCGCGGACAAUGCGCGGAAUUUCGGUUUUGAAUUUUGCGGGACGAUCGUGACAGCGCGUCACGGGGCGCGCGAGGCGCGCUGCUGGAUGUGUAGUGCCACCGCGGGUUGCAAUGACGUUUGGCUUUGACUUUGAGUGGUCGUUAGAGUGGUCGGUAUCUCUAUCACCUACCUACCUACCCUAUUCGGGAUUGGGAUCUGAUUUAUGUUGCGCCGAGUGCCACCACCGCCGAAAUUCUCUGCCGCCUCCUCACCCACCUUCCCCGGCCGACCUGGAUUCGUCGUCGCUAAAGGUUUUUUGGCUCUUGCCGUGAUGCGAUCACCUGAAUGGCGAC